UACAGAGGUCUCAAGCGUUGUUCGGAUUCAUUGGGCGUAAAGGGUGCGUAGGUGGCGCCGUAAGUCGGGUGUGAAAUUUCGGAGCUUAACUCCGAAACUGCAUUCGAUACUGCGGUGCUUGAGGACUGGAGAGGAGACUGGAAUUCAUGGUGUAGCAGUGAAAUGCGUAGAGAUCAUGAGGAAGACCAGUGGCGAUGGCGGGUCUCUGGACAGUUCCUGACACUGAGGCACGAAGGCCAGGGGAGCAAACGGG
rnacentral:rRNA from 1 species